rnacentral:rRNA from 1 species
AGCGCGGGUGCGAGUCGGAGGGUGCAAGCCCGUGGGCGAAGUGAAAGCGAGUUUAAAAACGAGCAGUUUGGGGCGGCAUAAGAUCGUUGAUCUUAAGACCGACCCAGAGCAGUUGCGCUGGGACCCGAAAGAUGGUGAACUAUGCCGGAGUAGGGCAAAGCCAGAGGAAACUCUGGUGGAGGCUCGUAGCGGUGCUGACGUGCAAAUCGCUCGUCGAACUUGGGUAUAGGGGCGAAAGACUAAUCGAACCAUCUAGUAGCUGGUUCCCUCCGAAGUUUCUCUCAGGAUAGCGGGCCGACAAGUUGUUUUGUGCGGUAAAGCGAAUGAUUAGCGCAAUCGGGGGCGUUUAGCCUUCGGGCGAUUCUCAAACUUUCAAUGCGCAAGGGUGCCGCUGCUUAAUUGAGCGGUACCGGUAAAAACGUCGGCCCUGUGGGCCACUUUUGGUAAGCAGAACUGGCGAUACGGGAUGAACCGUAAGCAAGGUUAAGGCGCCAAACUGCCCGCUUAUAGAUCCCACAAAAGGUGUUGAUUCAUCGAGACAGCAGGACGGUGGCCAUGGAAGUCGGAAUCCGCCAAGGAGUGUGUAACAACUCACCUGCCGAAUGAAUUAGCCCUGAAAAUGGAUGGCGCUUAAGCGGGCGGCCGACACCUUGCCGUCUGAACAAGAAUUUCAGAUGAGUAGGAGGGCGUGGCGGCCGUGUCGAAGCGCGCGUGCAGACGCGUGUGGAACGGCCGCUAGUGCAGAUCUUGGUGGUAGUAGCAAGUAUUCAAGCGAGAUCCUUGAAGGGCGAAGUGGGGAAGGGUUUCACGCGAACAUUGAUUGGGCGUGAGUGAGUCGUUCCUAAGCCGAGUGGCAAUUGCUAAUUAACGGCGAAAGGGAAGCGGGUUGACAUUCCCGCACACGGAUGUGGAGGCGGCGACGCAUUAUUGGGGCGAACACGCUGGCGAUGGCGCUGGGCAGAGUUGUCUUUUCUGUUUGACCGCUUGCGCACGCAGUGUGGAAUCCGCUUGUAGGGAGAAACACGCGUGUUCGGGCAGAGCGCUGGGGCU